AAGCCCCGGCACCUUUUGGGGUGCUGCCUCAAAUUUGCACUUUGACUCGCUUGCCACGGGGCU
rnacentral:tRNA from 1 species